rnacentral:lncRNA from 1 species
UAAUUUAGUAAGACAGUUUUUGACAGUUUUUUCAGAAGGCUACAGCAGUAGAUAACAUACAGACAAAGCUGUUAUAACAUUGGGGGGCAAAAUUAGGGUGGUUUAAAGAAGAAGGUAGUUUAUAAGUUUCACACAGGAGUUUCAAGGUGAGUGGUCCAGGUGAGGACAGUUCAGCUCCACACAGUCACUCAAAGACACAGGUUUCUUUCAUCAGGUUCCUCCACACCCUGGGGCUUGUCUUCAUCUGCAUGGUCAAGCCGAAUCUCAGCCACACAAGAACGGGAAGGAGUGGAUGUCCAGAACAAGUAAUCCUUUCUCAUAAAAUUGUCAACACAUGUUUGAUGUUUAGUAUUGAAAUUUGGAAGUUAAUCGGAUGAGUUCUAGUUGCUAAACUGCAUGAUAAGUUCAUGGGUACAGCCGCCAGUACAUAGUUGUGUAUUCCAGU